CAGGCGCGGAGAGGCGCACAGCGCGGCACAGCGAGGCGCCGGCCCAGACUCCACUCCCCAGCUGUGAAAGGAGGAGCUCUACGGUGACUUUGAAGACUUGGAAACAGGGGACGUGCACAAGGGAAAAUCGGGCCCCGAUACUCAGAAUGAAGAUGUAGAGAAACAAGGAAGAAAUUGACCCUGACGAAGAAGAAAGUGCCAAGAAAAAGCAUUUGGAUAAGAAGAGAAAAUUGAAGGAGAUGUUUGAUGUGGAAUAUGAUGAAGGAGAAAGCACAUAUUUUGAUGAUCUUAAAGGAGAAAUGCAGAAACAAGCACAGCUGAAUCAUGCAGAAUUUGAAGAUCAAGAUGAUGAAGCCAGAGUUCAGUAUGAGGGUUUUCGACCUGGGAUAUGCGUCUGAAGAAACAUCGCUGGUAUAAGAAAAUCCUCAAGUCCCGAGAUCCAAUCAUAUUUUCUGUAGGGUGGAGGAGGUUUCAGACCAUCCCGCUCUGUUAUAUCGAAGACCACAAUGGAAGACAAAGGCUUCUAAAGUAUACCCCACAGCAUGUGCAUCGCGGAGCAGCCUUUUGGGAUAAAAUAUGAUUACAAUAACUUGCCUAUUGCUGAGAUUAAACCUUACAGGCUGCGUUAUUUUAGCUUUGUGCUUUUCCUUUCAUAAAAUUCCACUCCUAAGAUUUUUCUCUUUUCUGGGAGCAGGGAGGUGGUUUGGAGUAUAUACGUAAAUCUAUAUCCAAAUCUAAAUGUCCAUAUCCAGUAUGUUAAACUAGAAUCUAAAAUUUGUGGUUUGCUAUAUUUCUUUUUUUCCUUUUCCUUUAAGACCCUAUCACUCCACAGGGAAC
rnacentral:lncRNA from 10 species